rnacentral:rRNA from 1 species
UACGUAGGGUGCGAGCGUUGUCCGGAAUUAUUGGGCGUAAAGGGCUCGUAGGCGGUUUGUCGCGUCGGGAGUGAAAACCAGGUGCUUAACACCUGGCUUGCUUUCGAUACGGGCAGACUAGAGGUAUGCAGGGGAGAACGGAAUUCCUGGUGUAGCGGUGAAAUGCGCAGAUACCAGGAGGAACACCGGUGGCGAAGGCGGUUCUCUGGGCAUUACCUGACGCUGAGGAGCGAAAGUGUGGGGAGCGAACAGG